AAGGUCCAUCCAACCAACCACAAGAUCGAAACACUAACAACAACAUGGACGCCAUCUCCUGCCUAGCGCCUCUGCUGGCGACCUCCAUCGCAGACGCGGCCAUCGCCCGGGCGCUCCACUUCUCCUCCUCCUCCUCCUCCUCCUCCUCCGUCGCCGCCACCACCACCACCAUCAUAUCACCAGACUCCUCCUCCGCCUCCUCCCACCACAACGACCUCCCCCCGGUGCCGGUGCCGGUGCCACCGCACGCCGCCUCCUUCCACCCCGUGCGCCAGAACCACCACCAGGCGCUGGCGCUGGCGCCGAGGGGAGCGCGCGCGGGGAAGCGCCGGUCGCGAGCGCCCACCACCACCUACAUCAGCACCGACACCGCCAACUUCCGGCUCAUGGUGCAGCAGAUCACCGGCGCGCAGGAGGCGGACGGCGGCGACGUGGCCGGGGUGGACGUCACGGCGCUCCAGGUCCAGGCGGCCGCGCUGCUGGGCGCCGCCGCCGCCGGGAGCCCACAGCUGCUGCCGGGCGACGACGAGGCGUCGGCGCUUCGUCGCCACCAGCUCCACCCCCUCGACCUUCAGCAGCAGCCAUGCUUCCCGACGCUGGACUCUUGGAACGUCAUGUACGAGACCAACAGCAGCGGCGCGGGAAUGCUGUGACGAUCGAGCAGAGCGCCGUACGUCGCCGGCUGCCGACCUGCCGUACCGAGUUUCAUACAUGCGUGAUGUGCAUGCCCGCCACCACCGUAGAUGCACGUCCGGCUGAUCUAGCUACUGUGUACUGUACAAUAGAAGAUGGAUCGAGCAGCCGACAGACACAGAUUAGCUAGCGUAUCUGCUGUACUGUAUCAGCCAUAGAACCUUGCUUACGAUCCAUAUGGAUUGCGGUGAGAACAGAGACGCAAGCGGUGGCUGCAAAGGUGUUGGGUCAUGUUUGUUUCAGCUUUUUUCUAACAAGUUUUUCUAAAAA